CUAUUCAGCUGAUUCUCUUUCCCUCGUGUGUGAGUGGACUUCAAUUAUCGGCCCUUGUGCUACGGUCCUUUUCCUUCAGCUUUUAUUGCUUCUUCCCUUUUCUGUUUCAAACCCGCAUCUUUCCCUCCUCAGUCUUUCCUUUUCCUAUUCAAAUAUUUCCCUUCUGAGUAUUAAUGAUUUAUUUCUUUCCUUUUCAACAUGAUUUCGCAAAAAAAAUUGUGUCUGAAUUUAGCCCUAUGAUUAGAACUUUCACGUCCAUUACGCUAGACCUUUUACCCAAAGUUCUAACUCUGCUCCCUACCUCCGCCGCCGUCUCUUCCUGCUCCGCUGCUUCAAUUGCUGAUUUGUUACACAAAGCGAUUGCUGCUAUGUCAAUCCAAGAUGAAGAGCCAUUGGUACUCCCACUACAAGAAAUAUGAGUAUUGGUAGCAGUUCACGGUAGCACAAAUUCACUAACUGCUACCAAUAAUAACAAAAUCGGAUCAGAAUUCUAUUGUAGCAUUAAAUUUACGCUAAGAUAGAAUUUCAUUAAUCCAAAAGGCAGAAAUCACUAUCAACGCUGAAAAAAAACUAUUUUGGAGCCGACACUUAGCCAAUUUUUUGGUUUUCUUUUAUUUCCCACCAAAAAAACAACAAUUCCCUUUUCAUUAGGGUUCUUAUCAUUCGUCUCUGUCACCUCCUCGAGUCUCAUCCCUGCGUUUCCCCUUUGUUCGAUCUCGAGCUCCGACCACCACUCUGUGGUCCCCACCCGCCCGCAAUCGAACACGGUGGCGCCUCUUGUCCACUCUCUCCGCCGUGUCUCUGCUCAUCAAUCCGCCGUGCUCUGCUUCACACCGCAACAGUCUCGCCGUCUUCGUCACGUCGGAGCUCUCAUCCAUCGUCCAUCUCUGAGUCCGUGACCAAACCACAACACGAUAUCAGCUGCUCCAAAUCAAGCUUCUCUGGUCCGUCUUGUUUCUUUGUCGUCACCGGAAUCAUGCCACACUGUCGGGAUAGAAGUGCAGAAAGCAACAAUGGUGAUCUUUAAACUAUUUGCAAAUAUGGUCCUUCAUCUUUGUAGAGUUUUGUUUUUGCCCCAAGCCUUUACCAUGUGCCAGUGAAAGGAAACCUUGUGAGUUCAGGACAAUGGUGGUAACAGAUGCUGAAGGUCAUCUCUUGGGGAGAUUAAUUGUGGAACUUUACUGCAAAGUUGUAGCCGAAUGAGCAGUCUUCUUGAACAACUGUGGCAACAAAAAAAGAGAGAGUAAGAGAGUUCUCUAAUGUGCAAUCACAAAUUGAGAAGAUAUCCGGAGAGAUUGCUGGUGGUUUCUGUAAUGAGGUUCCUAUAUCCUUAGCAAUUUUAAAACAACUAAGAUCAAUGAAGUUAAAACUUAUAAUUAGAGAUACAUGAUGCAGAGUUCGUGAAGACAUGCGAGAGAGGUGGAAAGACUUGAUGUGUGUUUUAUAAAAUUAAUGAAUAGAAUUGUGAGUUUAAGAUUUUUUGUUAUAUUAGUAUGGUCUUUGUAGAAAGUGAAAUGUGAUUGAUUAUAUGAUUAACUGUAAUCGAUUAUAUUUGAGGUCAGUUCAUGGACUUGGAACAAACCAAUGUUAAAAAUUAUGAUA